rnacentral:rRNA from 1 species
UACGUAGGUGGCAAGCGUUGUCCGGAAUCAUUGGGCGUAAAGAGCUCGUAGGCGGCUCAGUAAGUCGGGUGUGAAACCCUCAGGCUCAACCUGGGGACGCCACCCGAUACUGCUGUGGCUAGAGUCCAGUAGGGGAGUGUGGAAUUCCCGGUGUAGCGGUGAAAUGCGCAGAUAUCGGGAGGAACACCAGCGGCGAAGGCGGUUCUCUGGGACGGUACUGACGCUGAGACGCGAAAGCGUGGGGAGCGAACAGG